UACGGGGGAGGCAAGCGUUGUUCGGAAUUACUGGGCGUAAAGGGCUCGUAGGCGGCCAACUAAGUCAGACGUGAAAUCCCUCGGCUUAACCGGGGAACUGCGUCUGAUACUGGAUGGCUUGAGUUUGGGAGAGGGAUGCGGAAUUCCAGGUGUAGCGGUGAAAUGCGUAGAUAUCUGGAGGAACACCGGUGGCGAAGGCGACAUCCUGGACCAACACUGACGCUGAGGAGCGAAAGCCAGGGGAGCAAACGGG
rnacentral:rRNA from 1 species